UACGUAGGCAGCGAGCGUUUGUUCGGAGUUACUGGGCGUAAAGGGUGUGUAGGUGGCGCGCUAAGUCGGGUGUGAAAUUUCGGAGCUUAACUCCGAAACUGCAUUCGAUACUGGCGUGCUUGAGGACUGGAGAGGAGACUGGAAUUCAUGGUGUAGCAGUGAAAUGCGUAGAGAUCAUGAGGAAGACCAGUGGCGAAGGCGGGUCUCUGGACAGUUCCUGACACUGAGACACGAAGGCCAGGGGAGCAAACGGGG
rnacentral:rRNA from 1 species